rnacentral:rRNA from 1 species
AUUAUUAUUAGUUUAUGUUCUUAAAAAUAAGAUAUUUUGGCGGUAUUUUAAUCCAUUCAGAGGAACCUGCCCUUUAAUUGAUACUCCACGAGCUAUACUAUUUUCAAUUUGUUUGUAUAUCGUUGUUAAGGAAAUUUUCAAGAAAAAGGAAUUUUCAAAGUUUAAUUAUAUUAAAUAGAUCAGAUCAAGGUGCAGCAUGCGAAAACUUGAGGUGGGUUACAUUUAUGUUAUUUUAAUUUGAUUAUAGGGUGGAAAGCCCCUAUAGAGAGAAAGGAUUUGAUAGUAAUUUUAUCAAUGCAUUAAAGUGAUUUAUGGCUCUAAAAUAUGUACACAUCGCCCG